AUUGAACGCUGGCGGCAUGCCUUACACAUGCAAGUCGAACGGCAGCAUGGAGAGCUUGCUCUCUGAUGGCGAGUGGCGAACGGGUGAGUAAUGCAUCGGAACGUACCGUGUAAUGGGGGAUAACGUAGCGAAAGUUACGCUAAUACCGCAUACGACCUGAGGGUGAAAGCAGGGGAUCGCAAGACCUUGCGUUAUACGAGCGGCCGAUGUCAGAUUAGCUAGUUGGUGAGGUAAAGGCUCACCAAGGCGACGAUCUGUAGCGGGUCUGAGAGGAUGGUCGGCCACACUGGGGCUGAGACACGGCCCAGACUCCUACGGGAGGCAGCAGUGGGGAAUUUUGGACAAUGGGGGCAACCCUGAUCCAGCCAUGCCGCGUGAGUGAAGAAGGCCUUCGGGUUGUAAAGCUCUUUCGGCCGGGAAGAAAUCGCACAGGCUAAUACUCUGUGUGGAUGACGGUACCGGCAUAAGAAGCACCGGCUAACUACGUGCCAGCCGCCGCCGUAA
rnacentral:rRNA from 1 species